AAAUAGUGGAGGAUCACUCUUGCAAGCCUUCUUUUUGAGGUUUUCUCGGUGAUUAAAGAUAAUAUCCGGAGAGAUAUUUUGCCAUUGUUUUUCAUACGUAGGGGAAGGCGAGCAAGGACGAGCGUUCUGUAUAGUCU